CCGCGGGUCACUCCCGCGGCCACGCCUGUCCGAGGGUCGGC
rnacentral:rRNA from 1 species